rnacentral:rRNA from 1 species
AACGAACGCUGGCGGCAGGCUUAACACAUGCAAGUCAAGGGGCCCUUCGGGGCACCGGCGCACGGGUGCGUAACGCGUGGGAAUAUACCCCUGGGUGAGGAAUAACGUAGAGAAAUUUGCGCUAAUACCUCAUAAUAACUUCGGUUCAAAGAUUUAUCGCCGAGGGAUUAGCCCGCGUUAGAUUAGAUAGUUGGUGAGGUAACGGCUCACCAAGUCGACGAUCUAUAGGGGGUCUGAGAGGAUGAUCCCCCACACUGGUACUGAGACACGGACCAGACUCCUACGGGAGGCAGCAGUGAGGAAUAUUGGACAAUGGGGGAAACCCUGAUCCAGCCAUGCCGCGUGAGUGAAGAAGGCCCUAGGGUUGUAAAGCUCUUUCAAACGUGAAGAUAAUGACGGUAGCGUUAGAAGAAGCUCCGGCUAAAUUCG